AUAAAUCGAAGAGGUCGCAACCGACAAAAGUAACUAGUGGAAUUUCUGCAAGAAUGAAGAAGCUAGUGAAAGGGGAAGUUGCCGAAGCGUUAAUUAUUGCAGUAGUUAAUUAGCUGGGACGUAGUUGAAGAGAUUACGGACUGUCGCAAAUUUAAAUUUGCGGAGCGCUAUCGACAAAA
rfam:Lactobacillus mellis strain Hon2 genomic scaffold Hon2_scaffold2, whole genome shotgun sequence.